GUGGGGAAUCUUCCACAAUGGACGAAAGUCUGAUGGAGCAACGCCGCGUGAGUGAAGAAGGGUUUCGGCUCGUAAAGCUCUGUUGUCGGGGACGAAUGUGCAGUAUUUGAAUAAAGUACUGCAAUGACGGUACCUGACGAGGAAGCCACGGCUAACUACGUGCCAGCAGCCGCGGUAAUACGUAGGUGGCAAGCGUUGUCCGGAAUUAUUGGGCGUAAAGGGAGCGCAGGCGGGAAGGUAAGUCGGUCUUAAAAGUGCGGGGCUCAACCCCGUGAUGGGAUCGAAACUAUCUUUCUUGAGUGCAGGAGAGGAAAGUGGAAUUCCUAGUGUAGCGGUGAAAUGCGUAGAUAUUAGGAGGAACACCAGUGGCGAAGGCGACUUUCUGGACUGUAACUGACGCUGAGGCUCGAAAGCCAGGGGAGCGAACGGGAUUAGAAACCCUGGUAGUCC
rnacentral:rRNA from 1 species